rnacentral:misc_RNA from 1 species
UUUCCGUAGGUGAACCUGCGGAAGGAUCAUUAUUGAAUUUUUGAAGGAGUUGUUUGCUGGCCUUUCAUCGGGCAUGUGCACGCUCCGUUCAAAUCCAACCUUCUAUACACCUGUGCACCGUUUGUAGGGUCGCGUGGCCGAAAGGCCCGCGCUCUAUGUCUAUCACAAACUCUUUAGUAUGUUUUGAAUGUCGACGCGUGUAACGCAUCUUUAUACAACUUUCAGCAACGGAUCUCUUGGCUCUC